AAGUCGUAACAAGGUUUCCGUAGGUGAACCUGCGGAAGGAUCAUUACUGAGUGGCUGUAUUCGCGAUUCUCUUCGGAGAGGCGAAGCUACCCGACCUGAUGUCAUUCUAUCCGAGGGCGCGUCCGCAUGAGACAGCGGUUCGACGUUGGAGGUACCCGGACGAGGCGCUUGUCUCGAAAAGGGGAAGCUCCGGGUCGGGCCGUGGCGCGCCUCUCGGCACAACUUUCCGCGGAAGUGGUAGGCGUUGACCUGCCCGCUGCGGGCCGUAUUUUCUACAAGUCUUGAAGAAAACCUGAAGUCUGAAGAUCAAAACAAAAUGAAAAGCAAAACUUUCAACAACGGAUCUCUUGGCUCUG
rnacentral:misc_RNA from 1 species